UUUUUUUUAAAUUUGUAUUAUUAGAAUAUCUUUUUGGUUUCUACAUAUAUUUAACUUAAGUGUUAACCCUUUUGUUAGGUGCCCAGAUAUCCGACGACUUAGUUUAGCUUUAGCUACGCGACUAAAGCCUCAAGCUAUAGACUCCUUUAGUAAUCUUGGAUUUACCAGCUUUUUGUUACACACUAAAUGCUAA